rnacentral:rRNA from 1 species
GGGUUUAAUUCGAUGAUACGCGAGGAACCUUACCCGGGCUUGAAUUGCAGAGGAAGGAUUUGGAGACAAUGACGCCCUUCGGGGCCUCUGUGAAGGUGCUGCAUGGUUGUCGUCAGCUCGUGCCGUGAGGUGUCGGCUUAAGUGCCAUAACGAGCGCAACCCCUCUCCUUAGUUGCCAUCAGGUCAAGCUGGGCACUCUGGGGACACUGCCACCGUAAGGUGUGA